AUUGAACGCUGGCGGCAGGCCUAACACAUGCAAGUCGAACGAGUCGCGGACGUGAGAGUUAUGUCUGGGAAACUUCCUGAGGGAGGAGGAUAGGUACUGGAAACGGUUACUAAUACCGCAUACCAUCGGCUAGGCCCAGAUGGGAUUAGCUAGUGGGUGGGGUAAAGGCUCACCAAGGUGACGAUCCCUAACGGGUCUGAGAGGAUGACCAGUCACACGGGAACUGAGACACGGUCCAGACUCCUACGGGAGGCAGCAGUGGGGAAUAUUGGACAAUGGGCGAAAGCCUGAUGCAGCCAUGCCGCGUGUGUGAAGAAGGCCUUCGGAUUGUAAAGUACUUUCAGCUGGGAGGCGUUACCCGCAGAAGAAGCACCGGCUAACUCCGUGCCAGCAGCCGCGGUAAUUC
rnacentral:rRNA from 1 species